GACGAACGCUGGCGGCGUGCCUAAUACAUGCAAGUUGAGCGCUGAAGGUUGGUACUUGUACCGACUGGAUGAGCAGCGAACGGGUGAGUAACGCGUGGGGAAUCUGCCUUUGAGCGGGGACAACAUUUGGAAACGAAUGCUAAUACCGCAUAAAAACUUUAAACACAAGUUUUAAGUUUGAAAGAUGCAAUUGCAUCACUCAAAGAUGAUCCCGCGUUGUAUUAGCUAGUUGGUGAGGUAAAGGCUCACCAAGGCGAUGAUACAUAGCCGACCUGAGAGGGUGAUCGGCCACAUUGGGACUGAGACACGGCCCAAACUCCUACGGGAGGCAGCAGUAGGGAAUCUUCGGCAAUGGACGAAAGUCUGACCGAGCAACGCCGCGUGAGUGAAGAAGGUUGUCGGAUCGUAAAACUCUGUUGGUAGAGAAGAACGUUGGUGAGAGUGGAAAGCUCAUCAAGUGACGGUAACUACCCAGAAAGGGACGGCUAACUACGUG
rnacentral:rRNA from 1 species